rnacentral:rRNA from 1 species
CUCAGACGUGAUUACCCGCUGAACUUAAGCAUAU